rnacentral:pre_miRNA from 14 species
CGCAAUAUUUUGUAUGGAAGACUAGUGAUUUUGUUGUUUGGCUUAAGAUAGUAACAAUAAAUCUCCAGUCUUUCUACAACGUUUGCU